CAAGUCGAACGGCGAGCGACGGAUUUCGGUCUGGUGGCGAGUGGCGAACGGGUAGAGUAAUGUAUCGGAACGUACCUUCAGUGGGGAUAACGUAGCGAAAGUUACGCUAAUACCGCAUAUUCUGUGAGCAGGAAAGCAGGGGAUCGCAAGACCUUGCGCUGAUUGAGCGGCCGAUAUCAGAUUAGCUAGUUGGUGGGGUAAAGGCCUACCAAGGCUACGAUCUGUAGCGGGUCUGAGAGGAUGAUCCGCCACACUGGAACUGAGACACGGUCCAGACUCCUACGGGAGGCAGCAGUGGGGAAUUUUGGACAAUGGGGGCAACCCUGAUCCAGCCAUGCCGCGUGAGUGAAGAAGGCCUUCGGGUUGUAAAGCUCUUUCAGCCGGGAAGAAAUCGCAUCAGCUAAUACCUGGUGUGGAUGACGGUACCGGAAUAAGAAGCACCGGCUAACUACGUGCCAGCAGCCGCGGUAAUACGUAGGGUGCGAGCGUUAAUCGGAAUUACUGGGCGUAAAGCGUGCGC
rnacentral:rRNA from 1 species